rnacentral:pre_miRNA from 1 species
AGUGGAAUUCCUGGGUCAUAUGGUAACUCUACAUUCAACUUUUUGAGUAACUGCCAAGCUGUUUUCCAAAGUGGCUGCACCACUUACAUCCCCACCAGCAAU